rnacentral:rRNA from 1 species
GAUGAACGCUGGCGGCGUGCCUAAUACAUGCAAGUCGAGCGAACAGAUAAGGAGCUUGCUCCUUUGACGUUGGCGGCGGACGGGUGAGUAACACGUGGAUAACCUACCUAUAAGACUGGGAUAACUUCGGGAAACUGGAGCUAAUACCGGAUAACAUAUUGAACCGCAUGGUUCAAUAGUGAAAGGCGGCUUUGCUGUCACUUAUAGAUGGAUCCGCGCCGUAUUAGCUAGUUGGUAAGGUAACGGCUUACCAAGGCAACGAUACGUAGCCGACCUGAGAGGGUGAUCGGCCACACUGGAACUGAGACACGGUCCAGACUCCUACGGGAGGCAGCAGUAGGGAAUCUUCCGCAAAGGGCGAAAGCCUGACGGAGCAACGCCGCGUGAGUGAUGAAGGUCUUCGGAUCGUAAAACUCUGUUAUCAGGGAAGAACAAAUGUGUAAGUAACUGUGCACAUCUUGACGGUACCUGAUCAGAAAGCCACGGCUAACUACGUG